rnacentral:rRNA from 1 species
CUAAUACAUGCAAGUAAACGCUGAAGCUUGGUGCUUGCACCGAGCGGAAGAGUUGCGAACGGGUGAGUAACGCGUAGGUAACCUGCCUCUUAGCGGGGGAUAACUAUUGGAAACGAUAGCUAAUACCGCAUAAAAGUCGAUAUCGCAUGAUGUUGAUUUGAAAGGUGCAAUUGCAUCACUAAGAGAUGGACCUGCGUUGUAUUAGCUAGUUGGUGAGGUAACGGCUCACCAAGGCGACGAUACAUAGCCGACCUGAGAGGGUGAUCGGCCACACUGGGACUGAGACACGGCCCAGAACNNUCCUACGGGAGGCAGCAGUAGGGAAUCUUCGGCAAUGGGGGCAACCCUGACCGAGCAACGCCGCGUGAGUGAAGAAGGUUUUCGGAUCGUAAAGCUCUGUUGUAAGAGAAGAACGAGUGUGAGAGUGGAAAGUUCACACUGUGACGGUAACCUACCAGAAAGGGACGGCUAACUACGUGCCAGCAGCCGCGGUAAUACGUAGGUCCCGAG